AAAAAAAAAAAAUUCAAUCUUUGUGGCUCUCUUCUUUGUUUUUCUUUGGAUUUUGUUGUUAGUUAUUGGUCCAUUUGAAUACCCAAAUCCCAGAAAUCUUUGUUGUUUGAAGAGAAUAAGGGAAGUUGUGAAUUGGGUUUGGGUCAAUAUUUAGGGAAACAAGGAAAGGAAAUGAGGGAGGAUGAUUCUAAUUGGUUUUCAAGAUGGGAGGAAGAGCUCCCAUCACCAGAAGAGCUUAUGCCCUUAUCCCAAACCCUAAUUACUCCUGAUCUUGCUCUUGCUUUCGAUAUCCGUAAUCCUACUAAUACUGCCACCACUAACACCGCUUCUCUUUUACAACAAAAUCAUCCUCCUCCUCCUCCACCGCCGCA
rnacentral:misc_RNA from 1 species